rnacentral:rRNA from 1 species
GACGAACGCUGGCGGCGUGCUUAACACAUGCAAGUCGAACGGAAAGGCCCUGCUUUUGUGGGGUGCUCGAGUGGCGAACGGGUGAGUAACACGUGAGUAACCUGCCCUUGACUGUGGGAUAACUUCAGGAAACUGGGGCUAAUACCGGAUAGGAGCUCUUGCUGCAUGGUGGGGGUUGGAAAGUUUCGGCGGUUGGGGAUGGACUCGCGGCCUAUCAGCUUGUUGGUGGGGUAGUGGCUUACCAAGGCUUUGACGGGUAGCCGGCCUGAGAGGGUGACCGGCCACACUGGGACUGAGAUACGGCCCAGACUCCUACGGGAGGCAGCGGUGGGGAAUAUUGCACAAUGGGCGGAAGCCUGAUGCAGCAACGCCGCGUGCGGGAUGACGGCCUUCGGGUUGUAAACCGCUUUCGCCUGUGACGAAGCGUGAGUGACGGUAAUGGGUAAAGAAGCACCGGCUAACUACGUG